rnacentral:rRNA from 1 species
CCUACGGGUGGCAGCAGUGGGGAAUAUUGCUCAAUGGGGGAAACCCUGAUGCAGCAACGCCGCGUGAGUGAUGAAGUUUUUCGGUUUGUAAACUCCUUUCAUCAGAGAAGAUAAUGACGGUACCCAACGAAUAAGCACCGGCUAACGCCGUUCCAGCAGCCGCGGUAAGUCGGAGGGUGCAAGAGUUACUCGGAAUCACUGGGCGUAAAGAGCGCGUAGGCGGGAGUGCAAGUCUGAUGUGAAAGCCUAUGGCUUAACCGACGAACUGCAUUUGAAACUGUUAUUCUUGAGUACGGGAGAGGUAGGCGGAAUUCUUGGUGUAGGGGUGAAAUGCGUAGAUAUCAGGAGGAACACUAAUGGCGAAGGCGACCUGCUGGACCGUAACUGACGCUGAUGCGCGAAAGCGUGGGGAGCAAACAGGAUUAGAUACCCCAGUAGUC